UUCCACUGGAGGCUGCAGGGGUGUUUCUCUCAGCUCUAUGUGACAGCAUGUUUUUAAAGAAGGUGAGAGUGGCAGACUCACAAUUUCCAGGAUCCUUUCAUGACUCUUCUACAGAUGCAAGCCUCCAUUUUCUUGUUGAUGUUUUCGUCCUGAUGAUCUGUCUCUUGCUGUGAGUGGUGUGUUGAGAUCUCUAACUAAGCAGCAACUGUGCUGUUGUCUAUGUCUCCAUUAAGCUCAGUUCUGCCUUAAUGUGACACUGUGGAUUGAACCUGGCACCUCAGAGCAUGUAAGUCCUGCACUGAACCAUUAUGUUUUCUCCCCAGCCCAGCCCCUGAAGCUGAUGUUGGAACAACAGCUACUAUGUAUGUGCAUUCCAUGCAGUAUUCACCAUAUUCUCAGAGAAUACUCUUAUUCCAUAAAUGGUUAUUGCUUGUGUGUUUUAUGUUGACUGUUGAUGAUACAGAAUUUUUCAAAAGCACAAUAAAGCCUACACCUACAUGGAAAAUAA